AUUGAACGCUGGCGGCAGGCCUAACACAUGCAAGUCGAGCGGAGCGGCGGCAGGGUGAGUAAUGCCUAGGAAUCUGCCUGGUAGUGGGGGUUAACGUACGGAAACGGGCGCUAAUACCGCAUACUAUCAGAUGAGCCUAGGUGGGAUUAGCUAGUUGGUGGGGUAAAGGCCAAGCAAGGCGACGAUCCGUAACUAGUCUGAGAGGAUGAUCAGUCACACUGGAACUGAGACACGGUCCAGACUGCUACGGGAGGCAGCAGUGGGGAAUAUUGGACAAUGGGCGAAAGCCGUAUCCAGCCAUGCCGCUUGUGUGAAGAAGGGCUUCGGAUUGUAAAGCACUUUAAGUUGGGAGGCGUUACCAACAGAAUAAGCACCGGCUCACUUCAUGCCAGCAGCCGCGGUAAUUC
rnacentral:rRNA from 1 species